rnacentral:rRNA from 1 species
CCUACGGGAGGCAGCAGUGGGGGAUAUUGCACAAUGGGGGAAACCCUGAUGCAGCGACGCCGCGUGGGUGAAGAAGCGCCUCGGCGCGUAAAGCCCUGUCAGCAGGGAAGAAAAUGACGGUACCUGAAGAAGAAGCCCCGGCUAACUACGUGCCAGCAGCCGCGGUAAUACGUAGGGGGCAAGCGUUAUCCGGAUUUACUGGGUGUAAAGGGGGCGCAGACGGCGAUGCAAGCCAGGAGUGAAAGCCCGGGGCCCAACCCCGGGACUGCUGUUGGAACUGGGUGGCUAGAGUGCAGGAGGGGCAGGCGGAAUUCCUGGUGUAGCGGGGAAAUGCGUAGAUAUCAGGAGGAACACCGGUGGCGAAGGCGGCCUGCUGGACUGCAACUGACGUUGAGGCCCGAAAGCGUGGGGAGCAAACAGGAUUAGAUACCCCAGUAGUC